AUUGAACGCUGGCGGCAUGGACUAAAACAUGCAAGUCGAACGAUCCCGUUCGGGGAGAGUGGACGAAAGGGCGAGGAAUAGAAUCGAAUCGUACCCAAGGUGGGGGAUAGCCUCUGGAAACGGAGGGUAAUACCCCAUGUGCUCUACGGAGGAAAGGUUUACCGCCUUGGGAGCAGCGAUUCUCCUAUCAGGUAGUUGGUGAGGUAACGGCUCACCAAGCCGAAGACGGGUAGCGGGUGUGAGAGCAUGACCCGCCGCAUCGGGACUGAGACACUGCCCGGACUCCUACGGGAGGCUGCAGUAACGAAUCUUCCGCAAUGGGCGAAAGCCUGACGGAGCAAUGCCGCGUGUGGGAUGAAGCAUCUUCGAUGUGUAAACCACUGUCAGGGUCUAGGAAUACUGACCAGACCCAAAGGAAGGGCCGGCUAAUUCCGUG
rnacentral:rRNA from 1 species